rnacentral:rRNA from 1 species
GAUGAACGCUGGCGGCGUGCCUAAUACAUGCAAGUCGAGCGAACAGACGAGGAGCUUGCUCCUCUGACGUUAGCGGCGGACGGGUGAGUACACGUGGAUAACCUACCUAUAAGACUGGGAUAACUUCGGGAAACCGGAGCUAAUACCGGAUAAUAUAUUGAACCGCAUGGUUCAAUAGUGAAAGACGGUUUUGCUUUCACUUAUAGAUGGAUCCGCGCCGCAUUAGCUAGUUGGUAAGGUAACGGCUUACCAAGGCAACGAUGCGUAGCCGACCUGAGAGGGUGAUCGGCCACACUGGAACUGAGACACGGUCCAGACUCCUACGGGAGGCAGCAGUAGGGAAUCUUCCGCAAUGGGCGAAAGCCUGACGGAGCAACGCCGCGUGAGUGAUGAAGGUCUUCGGAUCGUAAAACUCUGUUAUUAGGGAAGAACAAAUGUGUAAGUAACUAUGCACGUCUUGACGGUACCUAAUCAGAAAGCCACGGCUAACUACGUG